ensembl:misc_RNA Metazoa_SRP Metazoan signal recognition particle RNA
GCCGGGUGUGGUGGCUCACAUCCGUAAUCCCAGCACUUUGGGAGGCCAAGAUGGGAGGAUUGCUUGAGUCCAGGAGUUCGGGACCGGCCUGGGCAACAUAGCAAGAUCCCAUUUCUU